UACGUAGGGGGCAAGCGUUGUCCGGAUUUAUUGGGCGUAAAGAGCGCGUAGGCGGCCUGAUAGGUCUGCUGUGAAAACUCGAGGCUCAACCUCGAGAUGUCGGCGGAAACGGUCUGGCUAGAGUCCGGAAGAGGAGAGUGGAAUUCCUGGUGUAGCGGUGAAAUGCGCAGAUAUCAGGAAGAACACCGAUGGCGAAGGCAGCUCUCUGGGACGGUACUGACGCUGAGACGCGAAAGCGUGGGGAGCGAACAGG
rnacentral:rRNA from 1 species